CCAAGAGAUCGGGAUAACACCUGGAAACAGAUGCUAAUACCGGAUAACAACAGAUGAUGCCUAUCAACUGUUUAAAAGAUGGUUCUGCUAUCACUCUUGGAUGGACCUGCGGUGCAUUAGCUAGUUGGUAGGGUAACGGCCUACCAAGGCGAUGAUGCAUAGCCGAGUUGAGAGACUGAUCGGCCACAUUGGGACUGAGACACGGCCCAAACUCCUACGGGAGGCAGCAGUG
rnacentral:rRNA from 1 species